rnacentral:lncRNA from 1 species
GGAAUCACAAGGUCCAUAUCUGAAUGCAUUAGCUUUUAGGAAUAACAUACCUCAACUUUUUUGCAGUUGCAAGUUCUUUUGUCCUCUGGGACCAUCUCUCUCACUUGCUCUCCCCUUCCCUGUGUCCAGUCAGGUAACGGCAAACCAUCCCUAAUUCCUCGUUUUUUAUUUAUUUUUUUUUUUCCCAGAAUGGACAAGAAAGACAAAGCUGUUAUUAGUGCAGUAUAAGCAUUUACUCAUUUGCUUUGAAGGAGCUGAGAUGCUGUCACCUCUAAAGUCAAUUAAUUGUCUUCUGGCUAAUAAAAACAUCUGCAGUCCAUAAUCAGAUCCACCCCUUACUCCCUCACCCUGAAGGAGAACUGCUGCCAUAAAAGAGCAACCCCUUGGACAACACCUUUGUGAUGUUGUGAGAUGGCUGGGAUUACUGUGAGCGAGCAAGUAUGGUAUGCUCCUGGUUCAAGGCUCCAAACAGGUAGCUACUUCGGCUUCAGUGGCCAAGGGCUGGAUCAAGAAGAACUCUGGUUAGCUGAGUGACAGAAGUCUAAAUGCUAUGCCAUGCACUAAACGUUGGUCAUCCUUCCUCAGAUACCUACCCUGACCACUUAAGAGCAUUUCCUCUAUUACAACUGUCAAUCAGUUGAUCUAGCAUUAUGUUAUUGGUGCCAUUCAGUUGCUCAACAAGCUCAUGGAAGGAGGCCAUGGGCCUCUUCAGGCCUACUGUGUCUGGUGAAUAAUGCCUCCCAGCUUGGUAUACUGCCCUGCUGCAUGGGAAGGUAGCAGUUGUGGAUGGCUGAAUUUUGAGGUGACAUUAUCAGAUAGACUAAACAUGUGGUUUUUCAGUAUACCAUGAAGUAAGGCAGGAAAGCUGAUCUGUUUUUCAAACAGAUCCUUCUCUCAGUAGAAAGUGCAGCUCCUUCUCUAAAGAAAGUAGGAUUCAUUCUUAAGAGCAAAGAAAUGCAUAUUCUUCAGCAAGUAGGAUCCAGUGGGGCUCAUA